rnacentral:rRNA from 1 species
GAGUUUGAUCGUGGCUCAGAGCGAACGUUAGCGGCGGGCCUAACACAUGCAAGUCGAACGAGAAUGUAGGCUUCGGUCUACUAGUAAAGUGGCGGACGGGUGCGUAACACGUGGGUAAUCUACCUUCCGGCGGGGACAACAGUCCGAAAGGAUUGCUAAUACCGCGUACGUCAGCGGCGCCUACGGGCGCUGUUGGGAAAGAUGGCCUCUCCUUGGAAGCUAUCACCGGAAGAUGAGCCCGCGUCCCAUCAGCUAGUUGGUGAGGUAAUGGCUCACCAAGGCUAAGACGGGUAGCUGGUCUGAGAGGAUGAUCAGCCACACUGGGACUGCGACACGGCCCAGACUCCUACGGGAGGCAGCAGUGGGGAAUAUUGGGCAAUGGGCGAAAGCCUGACCCAGCCACGCCGCGUGAGUGAUGAAGGCCUUC